UACAGAGGGGGCAAGCGUUAUUCGGAAUUAUUGGGCGUAAAGGGCGCGUAGGCGGCUUGUUGCGUCGUCCGUGAAAACCUGUGGCUCAACUACAGGCUUGCGGUCGAUACGGGCGGGCUGGAGUUCGGUAGGGGAGACUGGAAUUCCUGGUGUAGCGGUGAAAUGCGCAGAUAUCAGGAGGAACACCGGUGGCGAAGGCGGGUCUCUGGGCCGAUACUGACGCUGAGGAGCGAAAGCGUGGGGAGCGAACAGG
rnacentral:rRNA from 1 species